UACAGGGGGGGCAAGCGUUGUUCGGAAUUACUGGGCGUAAAGGGUUCGUAGGUGGCCAACUAAGUCAGACGUGAAAUCCCCAGGCUCAACCUGGGAACUGCGUCCGAUACUGGAUGGCUUGAAUCCGGGAGAGGGAUGCAGAAUUCCAGGUGUAGCGGUGAAAUGCGUAGAUAUCUGGAGGAAUACCGGUGGCGAAGGCGGCAUCCUGGACCGGCAUUGACGCUGAGGAGCGAAAGCCAGGGGAGCAAACGGG
rnacentral:rRNA from 1 species